rnacentral:rRNA from 1 species
UCCGUAGGUGGAUAAUUAAGUCAGAGGUGAAAUCCUGCUGCUCAACUGUAGAAUUGCCUUUGAUACUGGUUAUCUUGAGUCAUUAUGAAGUGGUUAGAAUGUGUAGUGUAGCGGUGAAAUGCAUAGAUAUUACUCAGAAUACCGAUUGCGAAGGCAGAUCACUAAUAAUGUACUGACACUGAGGGACGAAAGCGUGGGGAGCGAACAGGAUUAGAUACCCUGGUAGUCC